rnacentral:rRNA from 1 species
CCUACGGGUGGCAGCAGUGAGGAAUAUUGGUCAAUGGACGAGAGUCUGAACCAGCCAAGUAGCGUGAAGGAUGACUGCCCUAUGGGUUGUAAACUUCUUUUAUAUGGGAAUAAAACGUUCCACGUGUGGGAUUUUGUAUGUACCAUAUGAAUAAGGAUCGGCUAACUCCGUGCCAGCAGCCGCGGUAAUACGGAGGAUCCGAGCGUUAUCCGGAUUUAUUGGGUUUAAAGGUAGCGUAGGUGGAUUGUUAAGUCAGUUGUGAAAGUUUGCGGCUCAACCGUAAAAUUGCAGUUGAAACUGGCAGUCUUGAGUACAGUAGAGGUGGGCGGAAUUCGUGGUGUAGCGGUGAAAUGCUUAGAUAUCACGAAGAAGUCCGAUUGCGAAGGCAGUUCACUGGACUGCAACUGACACUGAGGCUCGAAAGUGUGGGUAUCAAACAGGAUUAGAUACCCCUGUAGUC